rnacentral:lncRNA from 1 species
AUUGAAUCCUGAGUGCCUAACUAAAAUGCUCUCAAUCAGUGUUUAUUAUGUGAACUGUGCUUAACUAAAAUGCCCUCCGUCAGCGUUUAUUAUGUGGAUUGCCAGACUUAUGGGAUGAAUAAAAAUCCAUAUCUCUGGAAGUUUCAUUUUUAUAGCAAUGUAUAUGCUGAACUAAAUCAAUAUAAUAAGCUCUUUUAGGAAAUGUCAUUAUUUUAUUUUAGAAAUUCUUUUUUUACAUGCAAAAGUAAUUUUAUAUCCAAUCCAAGUCUAAACGAAAUUGGCCUAAAAUAUGUUGAAGUCUAAUAUAUAUACAAGGUGAUAAGAAGAAUAACUAUUUAAAAACCUGAGAUAUACAGAUUAGUAUUAUGUGUGCCAUGUUUUAAAUAAAUAACGUUUUCUGGUUUUGUGGAAUACUGUCUUUUCAACUUAAAAUUUGUUUUCCUUAAUUGCAGCAUCAUGGAAAAAUCAAGAAAACCAACUUUCUAAAAAAACACGAAAAGACAAGCAAUCAUCUCCUUGGGCCAAAACCAUUUCCACUAGACAGAUUAUUAGCAAUAUUAUAUAGUAUCGUGGACAGCAGAGUUGCUCCAACAGCAAAUAUUUUUUCCCAGAUUACCUCUCUAGUGACCCUUCAGCUGUUAACCCUGGUUGGCCAUGACGAUCAGCUUGAUGGACCAAAAUACAAAUGCACAGUGUCUCUAGACUUCAUCAGAGCUAUUGCAAGGACGGUGAACUUUGACAUAAUAAAAUACUUGUAUGAUUUCUUGUGAAAACAAGCUU